rnacentral:rRNA from 1 species
UACGGAGGAUGCAAGCGUUAUCCGGAAUGAUUGGGCGUAAAGCGUCCGCAGGUGGCUGUGUAAGUCUGCUGUCAAAGACCAAAGCUCAACUUUGUAAAGGCAGUGGAAACUACACGGCUAGAGUGCGUUCGGGGCAGAGGGAAUUCCUGGUGUAGCGGUGAAAUGCGUAGAGAUCAGGAAGAACACCGGUGGCGAAGGCGCUCUGCUAGGCCGCAACUGACACUGAGGGACGAAAGCUAGGGGAGCGAAUGGG